rnacentral:rRNA from 1 species
AGUCGAGGGGUAUAGUUCUUCGGAGCUAGAGACCGGCGCACGGGUGCGUAACGCGUAUGCAAUCUACCUUUUACAGAGGGAUAGCCCAGAGAAAUUUGGAUUAAUACCUCAUAGUAUAAUGACUUGGCAUCAAGACAUUAUUAAAGUCACAACGGUAAAAGAUGAGCAUGCGUCCCAUUAGCUAGUUGGUAAGGUAACGGCUUACCAAGGCUACGAUGGGUAGGGGUCCUGAGAGGGAGAUCCCCCACACUGGUACUGAGACACGGACCAGACUCCUACGGGAGGCAGCAGUGAGGAAUAUUGGACAAUGGGCGCAAGCCUGAUCCAGCCAUGCCGCGUGCAGGAUGACGGUCCUAUGGAUUGUAAACUGCUUUUAUACGAGAAGAAACACUACUUCGUGAAGUAGCUUGACGGUAUCGUAAGAAUAAGGAUCGGCUAACUCCGUGCCAGCAGCCGCGGUAAUACGGAGGAUCCAAGCGUUAUCCGGAAUCAUUGGGUUUAAAGGGUCCGUAGGCGGUUUAGUAAGUCAGUGGUGAAAGCCCAUCGCUCAACGGUGGAACGGCCAUUGAUACUGCUGAACUUGAAUUAUUAGGAAGUAACUAGAAAUAUGUAGUGUAGCGGUGAAAUGCUUAGAGAUUACAUGGAAUACCAAUUGCGAAAGGCAGGUUACUACUAAUUGAUUGACGCUGAUGG